GUGAAGAUGUGUAGCGCUAAUGCACCGAAUCUUAUAAGAACUCCGUAGUUAAGCGUGCUUAGGUGAGAGUAGUACUAGGAUGGGUGACCUCUUGGGAAUUUCUCGGGUCGUGCACC
rnacentral:rRNA from 1 species